GAUGUCUUUACCUUCAGGUCUUAUUAAAAAUCUCCAACACAGGCCGGUCGCAGUGGCUCACAUCUGUAGUCCCAGCACAUUAGGAGGCCAAGGUGGAAGGAUCACUUGAGCUCAGGAGUUCGAGACCAGCCUGGGCAACAUCACAAAUCCCCAUCUCUACCUGAAAUAAUGUUUAAAAGACCAAUUCCAAGCCCUCCAUAAACCUCUUUAUCUUUCUCACAGAACAAUGCCAACGGGACUGCAAAGCCACCUUUUCUCAGCGGAGAAAACCCCUUUGCCACUGUGAAACUCCGCCCAACCGUGACGAAUGAUCGCUCGGCACCCAUCAUUCGAUGAGAAGACGGAAUGAUGGGCACGUCCUAACUCCAAUGUCGCCUAAGCAAAGCAUGCUUCUCUGUUUCACGUAGUUGGGUUGACACGUUUCUGCCUUUAAGAUAAAUGAGUAAUAGUCUAAUGACCCAUUCAGUCAUUUAAAAUAUUUUCUUCCUAUUCUGUUCAAGAAACAGUUAAAACUUGGUUUCAAUCAUUACUG